UACGUAGGUGGCGAGCGUUUGUCCGGAUUUACUGGGCGUAAAGAGCGCGCAGGCGGCUGGUCAAGUCCGAUGUGAAAGCUCCCGGCUUAACUGGGAAAUUGCAUCGGAAACUGAUCGGCUGGAAGGUGGGAGAGGGUAGCGGAAUUCCCGGUGUAGUGGUGAAAUGCGUAGAUAUCGGGAGGAACACCAGUGGCGAAAGCGGCUACCUGGCCCAUUCUUGACGCUGAGGCGCGAAAGCUGAGGGAGCAAACAGGGGAUU
rnacentral:rRNA from 1 species